rnacentral:misc_RNA from 1 species
GAUGAAGAACGCAGCGAAAUGCGAUAAGUAAUGUGAAUUGCAGAAUUCAGUGAAUCAUCGAAUCUUUGAACGCACAUUGUGCCCCCCAGUAUUCUGGCGGGCAUGCCUGUUCGAGCGUCAUUUCAACCAUCAAGCCCUGCUUGUGUUGGGGUCCUGCGGCUGCCCGCAGGCCCUGAAAACCAGUGGCGGGCUCGCUAGUCACACCGAGCGCAGUAGCACAUCUCGCUCAGGGCGUGCGGCGGGCUCCAGCCGUUAAAGCACCCACCUUUCGCAAGGUUGACCUCGGAUCGGGUAGGAAUACCCGCUGAACUUAAGCAUAUCAAUAAGCGGAGGA